AUGCCCAGUGAUUAUAAAAAGACGCGUUAUUCUGAGGGACACAACCUGCUAUUAGUCUCUCCUCUUCUCUUUGCUCUGUCUACAUCUCCUCUCAGUUUCCUGCUCCUCCUCCUCCUCUUUGUCAAUCUGGUAGCAGGUCCGCUGACUGUGAUUAUGAGAUAUGAGGGCAU